GAGCGGCGAACGGGUGAGUAACACGUGAGCAACCUGCCCCCGACUCCGGGAUAAGCGGUGGAAACGCCGUCUAAUACCGGAUACGACCGGCCACCUCAUGGCGGCCGGUGGAAAGUUUUCUCGGUUGGGGAUGGGCUCGCGGCCUAUCAGCUAGUUGGUGGGGUAAAGGCCUACCAAGGCGAUUACGGGUAGCCGGCCUGAGAGGGCGACCGGCCACACUGGGACUGAGACACGGCCCAGACUCCUGCGGGAGGCAGCAGUGGGGAAUAUUGCGCAAUGGGCGAAAGCCUGACGCAGCGACGCCGCGUGGGGGAUGACGGCCUUCGGGUUGUAAACCUCUUUUACCACCAACGCAGGCUCCCAGUUCUCUGGGGGUUGACGGUAGGUGGGGAAUAAGGACCGGCUAACUACGUGCCAGCAGCCGCGGUAAUACGUAGGGUCCGAGCGUUGUCCGGAAUUAUUGGGCGUAAAGAGCUCGUAGGCGGCGUGUCGCGUCUGCUGUGAAAGACCGGGGCUUAACUCCGGUUCUGCAGUGGAUACGGGCAUGCUAGAGGUAGGUAGGGGAGACUGGAAUUCCUGGUGUAGCGGUGAAAUGCGCAGAUAUCAGGAGGAACACCGGUGGCGAAGGCGGGUCUCUGGGCCUUACCUGACGCUGAGGAGCGAAAGCAUGGGGAGCGAACAGGAUUAGAUACCCUGGUAGUCCAUGCCGUAAACGUUGGGCGCUAGGUGUGGGGACUUUCCACGGUUUCCGCGCCGUAGCUAACGCAUUAAGCGCCCCGCCUGGGGAGUACGGCCGCAAGGCUAAAACUCAAAGGAAUUGACGGGGGCCCGCACAAGCGGCGGAGCAUGUUGCUUAAUUCGACGCAACGCGAAGAACCUUACCAAGGUUUGACAUCACCCGUGGACCUGCAGAGAUGUGGGGUCAUUUAGUUGGUGGGUGACAGGUGGUGCAUGGCUGUCGUCAGCUCGUGUCGUGAGAUGUUGGGUUAAGUCCCGCAACGAGCGCAACCCUUAUUCCAUGUUGCCAGCACGUAAUGGUGGGGACUCAUGGGAGACUGCCGGGGUCAACUCGGAGGAAGGUGGGGACGACGUCAAGUCAUCAUGCCCCUUAUGUCUUGGGCUGCAAACAUGCUACAAUGGCCGGUACAAUGGGCGUGCGAUACCGUAAGGUGGAGCGAAUCCCUAAAAGCCGGUCUCAGUUCGGAUUGGGGUCUGCAACUCGACCCCAUGAAGGUGGAGUCGCUAGUAAUCGCGGAUCAGCAACGCCGCGGUGAAUACGUUCCCGGGCCUUGUACACACCGCCCGUCACGUCAUGAAAGUCGG
rnacentral:rRNA from 1 species